CGGCGCUUUACUGUUUUUUCUACUCUACUCAUAAGCAAAUCGAUUUAGAGGAAAGCUAAUAUGGGAACAGAAAGUGUCAAUUGGCAUUCAGUUUUAGAUUGUGACCAAUGGGUUGCCCUCCCAGUAGCUGGGCAGCGACCAUCAGCCCGCUAUAAGCAUGUUGCAGUUGUUGCUGAUGAAAAGUUAUACAUUGUUGGUGGAAGUCGUAAUGGGUGAUACUUAUCUGAUGUUCAGGUAU